GACGGACGCUGGCGGCGUGCCUAAUACAUGCAAGUAGAACGCACAGUUUAUACCGUAGCUUGCUACACCAUAGACUGUGAGUUGCGAACGGGUGAGUAACGCGUAGGUAACCUGCCUGGUAGCGGGGGAUAACUAUUGGAAACGAUAGCUAAUACCGCAUAAUAUUAAUUAUUGCAUGAUAAUUAAUUGAAAGGUGCAAUUGCACCACUACCAGAUGGACCUGCGUUGUAUUAGCUAGUAGGUGAGGUAACGGCUCACCUAGGCGACGAUACAUAGCCGACCUGAGAGGGUGAUCGGCCACACUGGGACUGAGACACGGCCCAGACUCCUACGGGAGGCAGCAGUAGGGAAUCUUCGGCAAUGGACGAAAGUCUGACCGAGCAACGCCGCGUGAGUGAAGAAGGUUUUCGGAUCGUAAAGCUCUGUUGUAAGAGAAGAACGGGUGUGAGAGUGGAAAGUUCACACUGUGACGGUAUCUUACCAGAAAGGGACGGCUAACUACGUG
rnacentral:rRNA from 1 species